UCCUCGUUGACGCAAUUGGUUAGCGUGUCAGACUUUUAAUCUGAAAGUUGAGGGUUCGAGUCCCUCACGAGGAG
rnacentral:tRNA from 3 species